UUUCAGAAAAAAACGACAACUUAUUUUAUUUUGUUUUAACCCACAGAACCUGCACUGGAAAGAUACUAAAGCAAGCUCUUCAAGGAAAGUAAAAAUAGUCAACGGGAGUACAAGAGAAAUACAGGAAUAAACCUUGGCGUAUUUUCCCGAGCAUUAAUGGGUUGACAGUGAAGAUGAAUCACCUGUCUCUAACAUUCUACUAUCAAAACCUGAGAUCAGAAGUUCCAUGUAAAAAUAUAUCAGCUGGCCGCGGUGGCUCACGCCUAUAAUCCCAGCACUUUGGGAAGCUGAGGCAGGCAGAUCACUUGAGGUCAGGAGUUCAAGACCAGCCAGACAUUAUCCUUACACAUAGGUGAAAAAGUAAGGUAAAAAAUUAGUAAGAAAAUUGUCACUGGUUUAUACAAAGUUAGUAUUGGUGAGAUAAGACUUAAGACCUCCCUAUUUUCCCUUAUUUCACUGAUAAUGGAAUAGCUACACUAGACUAUAAACACAAUAUUAGAGAGUCAUUUGAAAGUUUGCAUAGAAGAAUCAAGAUCAAAAUGCAGAAGUACUGAUUCCUUGCAAAGAAAUCAUUUUGUCCUCUCCCAAAAUAGGAGAAUGUAAAGUAAAAUAGAAAUAAGCUGAAAGAGUUAAUUAUUACUUGGAUUAAGUGCCUGAGAUACUCCAAAUUAUCUCAUAUGUUGUGAUAAUAUAUCUCUACACCUAUAACUUAUCUCCACCCUCUGAUUCCAUAGUUAUGCCUGAAUUGCUCCAAAGAACAUUACAGUUUAUGUCAGUACCAGAAGACUUCCAAAUGUAAUUUGGCAAAAGAAGAUAGAACAUUUUCAUUCAGGAAAUUGUUCUUCUUAAUUGCUGUCUCAUUUUAUGUGUAAUAUCUUCUUCUGAAGAAAUAAUAGGCAUUCCUUUAUAGGAACAUGCAAACCAUCAAGGCUUAUGAAGUCCCAAGUUUUUGAAUUUCCUGAAGAUGAUAAAGUAAAAGUUAUUUCUUGUUACAUGUAGUUUUGAAUAUAUUUAUAUUACAAAUCUGUUUCAAGGCUUUAAAAAAAUAUUUUAGCACUAAAUUAAAAUGUGUUAAGUAGAGAAUGGAUUUUAUCCUUAUUAAAUGGGGACUGUACCAUUUCGAGAUAAGAGACCAGAGAUGUUGAUAUUUUAACUACUGGGAACUUAUUACAGUAACUAGUAGCAUGGAAGGUAAGUAUCUAACUAAUAAAACAGAGCGUAGUGGAAACAUAUGAACUCUGAGUUUGACUGGUUUUUGUUUGUUUGUUUGUUUUGUUUUGUUUCGUUUUUGAGACCGAGUUCAGUGGCGCGAUCUUGGCUUACUGUAACCUCUGCCUCCCAGGUUCAAGCGAUUCUCCUGCCUCAGCCUCCAGAGUAGCUGGGAUUAACCUGCCUCAGCCUCCCAAAGUGCUGAAAUUACAGGCAUGAGCCACCACG
rnacentral:lncRNA from 1 species